CUCCUACUCCCUCAGUCCAGAAAUACUUGUCCUUGAAAUGGUUGUAUCUAGAUUUUUUUUUAGUUAUAGGUACAUCCAUUCUAUUCAUUUUAAGGACAAGUAUUUUCGGACGGAGGGAGUAAGAG
rfam:Triticum aestivum genome assembly, contig: Triticum_aestivum_CS42_TGACv1_scaffold_129549_2BL